rnacentral:rRNA from 1 species
GACGAACGCUGGCGGCGUGCCUAAUACAUGCAAGUAGAACGCUGAAGGAGGAGCUUGCUCUUCUGGAUGAGUUGCGAACGGGUGAGUAACGCGUAGGUAACCUGCCUGGUAGCGGGGGAUAACUAUUGGAAACGAUAGCUAAUACCGCAUAACAGUAAAUGUUGCAUGACAUUUGCUUAGAAGGUGCAAUUGCAUCACUACCAGAUGGACCUGGGUUGUAUUAGCUAGUUGGUGGGGUAACGGCUCACCAAGGCGACGAUACAUAGCCGACCUGAGAGGGUGAUCGGCCACACUGGGACUGAGACACGGCCCAGACUCCUACGGGAGGCAGCAGUAGGGAAUCUUCGGCAAUGGACGGAAGUCUGACCGAGCAACGCCGCGUGAGUGAAGAAGGUUUUCGGAUCGUAAAGCUCUGUUGUAAGAGAAGAACGAGUGUGAGAGUGGAAAGUUCACACUGUGACGGUAUCUUACCAGAAAGGGACGGCUAACUACGUGCCAGCCGCCGCAGUAA